AUAUGAGAACGGCAAACCCUGCGAAAGUAGGGGACGCAAAGCUACAGGGACUACGGACCGGGAACGGUCUACUGUCAGCCAGCUGCCACG
rfam:Acidibacillus ferrooxidans strain ITV001 contig0043, whole genome shotgun sequence.